CGGGGUGAGUAACGCGUGGAUAACCUGCCUCACACUGGGGGAUAACAGUUAGAAAUGGCUGCUAAUACCGCAUAAGCGCACAGUACCGCAUGGUACGGUGUGAAAAACCCAGGUGGUGUGAGAUGGAUCCGCGUCUGAUUAGCCAGUUGGCGGGGUAACGGCCCACCAAAGCGACGAUCAGUAGCCGACCUGAGAGGGUGACCGGCCACAUUGGGACUGAGACACGGCCCAG
rnacentral:rRNA from 1 species